rnacentral:rRNA from 1 species
UACGGGGGGGGCAAGCGUUGUUCGGAAUUACUGGGCGUAAAGGGCUCGUAGGCGGCCAACUAAGUCAGACGUGAAAUCCCUCGGCUUAACCGGGGAACUGCGUCUGAUACUGGAUGGCUUGAGAUUGGGAGAGGGAUGCGGAAUUCCAGGUGUAGCGGUGAAAUGCGUAGAUAUCUGGAGGAACACCGGUGGCGAAAGCGGCUCACUGGACCGUCUCUGACGCUGAGGUGCGAAAGCCAGGGUAGCGAACGGG